AAUAUUGCACAAUGGAGGGAACUCUGAUGGAGCAACGCCGCGUGAGUGAAGAAGGUUCUCGGAUCGUAAAGCUCUGUUGUAAGGGAAGAACAAGUACAGGAGUAACGGUCUGUACCUUGACGGUACCUUACCAGAAAGCCACGGCUAACUACGUGCCAGCAGCCGCGGUAAUACGUAGGGGGCAAGCGUUGGCCGGAAUUAUUGGGCGUAAAGGGUGCGUAGGCGGCCAAUUAAAUCAGAUGUGAAAGACCACAGCUUAACUGUGGGAUUGCAUUUGAAACUGAAGGGCUUGAGUGUCGGAGAGGGUAGUGGAAUUCCCGGAGUAGCGGUGAAAUGCGUAGAUAUCGGGAGGAACACCAGUGGCGAAGGCGACUGCCUGGACGAUAACUGACGCUGAGGCACGAAAGCUAGGGGAGCAAACA
rnacentral:rRNA from 1 species